ensembl:lncRNA
CGUCGCUCAGACCAUCACACCUCUCUGUGCUCUCUCUGCUCUCUGCUUUCUUCAUCUCCAGGUCUCCCAUCUGUCCCUGUCUCUACCAUCCUCAUCCUCACUCUGUCUCUCCAUGGGAGUCAUGUCCUCCCCCAGGUUCCUGUCACUUCAUCUGCUUGGAGCCUUGCUGCUGCCGCUGCUGCUGCUGCCUGGUUCUUGGGCCCAGCAUUAUGAUGAUUUCACAUCAUCUCCAGAUUACGACUCUGACUACAACUCCACCUUUGAGUACAGCUUCUUCAGUAAUACGAGCAGCGAGGACCUGGACAGACUUGUGGAACGCUACCUCGAUCCAGACGAAACUACGGAGGACACUGGAGGACCAGAGGAGGAAGUGGCUGUAACCAUGGUGAUUACAAGAAGAACAACAGAGGGGGUCAACGCUCACGGCACUGCACCAUUUCAGUGUCCAGGUUGGGUCACUGUUGGACGUCCUAUAGAUGUCCAGAAUUGGUCAUGGACCGGCAGACCCAAUAUAGACCUGACGUCCAAUGUCCAGUGGGAAAUCAGGACGCUGCUCUGGACUCUGGUGAUCCUGUUGGUCCUGCAGCAGCUGCAACACACACUCUGGUGACAGGUGUCGAGACAAGCCCCUCAGCUCCGUCCUCAGUGAACAUGGCUCCUCAUGGGAGCAGGUGGACCAAUCACAGAGCUUCUUUCCUGAACCAUUUCAGAAAGUUUGCAGACAAACGCCUGGAAGAUUUCACUACGUGGUGACAUUUUUAUUAUACGUAAAGAAGUUUUUUGAUGGAACUGCUGAAUAAGCCAUACUUUAGAAAAGAUGUUUAUAUUUGUAAUAAAAAGAUGUUUUUAAAGACAAUAUGAAGUUAUUUUGUGUCCUUAUUGUGCAAACAAACAACAUAAGUGUUUGUAGUUGAGUGCAAACAAGCACUGUGUUACAGAAUAAACAUGUUGAUGGACGGGGUCAGCGGGGGCCUGGAGCUUUCAUUUUUUCUCCAAAUCACAAGUGUUGUUGGCUGAACUGUGAAACGUCAGCUGAAAGAUUUCUAUUACAGCAGAACCGUCACUGUGCAAACGUUUGCAUCUGUUCAUAUUCAGGAUCCAGGAGCGGAUUUGGAUCCACAGUUUAAUCACAGAUUUAUUUGACUUGCGAUACAUUUUUGAUUGUGCUGUUUAUAGUUUUCCUCUAAAUCCUGUUUGUUUGCAUAAAAAAGACACAAAAGUGACAGAAUAAAAACACGAUUGUAUGAAUGAGCAUAUUUGCAGAUACAUUUAUAUAUAAACAAAUAAAGAUGAAGUAUUUAAAGUGGACCCCAGCAUCCUCCGUGGUUACAAUCAUCAGUUUGUCAGCGACAUGUUUGAUUGUUUAUUUGGAUGUUUGAUCUUCCUGUUCGAAAAAACAAAACUGCAGUCCCA